UACGGGGGGGCAAGCGUUGUUCGGAAUUACUGGGCGUAAAGGGCUCGUAGGCGGCCAACUAAGUCAUACGUGAAAUCCCUCGGCUUAACCGGGGAACUGCGUCUGAUACUGGAUGGCUUGAGUUCGGGAGAGGGAUGCGGAAUUCCAGGUGUAGCGGUGAAAUGCGUAGAUAUCGGGAAGAACACCCGUGGCGAAGGCGGUUCUCUGGGCAUUACCUGACGCUGAGGAGCGAAAGUGUGGGGAGCGAACAGG
rnacentral:rRNA from 1 species